ACGCUCGACACCUACUGGAGGCAGCAGUGGGGAAUAUUGCACAAUGGGGGAAACCCUGAUGCAGCGACGCCGCGUGAGCGAAGAAGUAUUUCGGUAUGUAAAGCUCUAUCAGCAGGGAAGAAAAUGACGGUACCUGACUAAGAAGCCCCGGCUAACUACGUGCCAGCAGCCACGGUAAUCUGAGCGGGCUGGCAAGGC
rnacentral:rRNA from 1 species